UUGAAUCCACGGCGGCUUACAGCCGUGUGUUUUCUCUGCAGCGCCACCGGAGUCGGGCGUCCCCGAAGGGUAGGACUCAGUUCCCCCGCCCGCCAUGAAGAAGGCAAACAUGGGAAAAUCGGCUUGUGCUACUGCAGAAGGCUGGAGACAGCAGCAUUUUAUUCGCUGAGGUUGCAGAUUAAUGGAACCAGCUGAGAUGGGAGCCAGAAGACCCGGCUUUCUAUGAGGUGGCUAUGGUCUCUAGUCCUUGGAGUUUGAGGAAAGUUGCAUGCAGUUCAGCUCAGUCUAAGAGGUGGAUAUAUCAAGAAGAAGAUGGGCCAUCCUGGAGGUUCAUAGCUGUCAUUUUUUGAUUUGGAAUUUGGAACCCUGCCGGGCUUCAGUGUUUACAGAAGAAGCCUGCUCACCCUGUGCCAGACCAUCCUUAUCAUUGGUCUGGCAGUUUUCUUUUUCGGUUCCGGCCAUGAGGCCUGA